rnacentral:lncRNA from 1 species
GGGCAGAGCGCGUGUGGCGGCCGAGCACAUGGGCCCGCGGGCCGGGCGGGCUCGGGGCGGCCGGGACGAGGAGGGGCGACGACGAGCUGCGAGCAAAGAUGUGCCCCGGGACCCCCGGCACCUUCCAGUGGAUUUCCUUGCGGAAAGGAUGUUGGCGGUCCCUGUGACCUGUGGAGACACGGCCAGAUCUGCCCUCCAGCCUGAUCUUUUGGCCAGAAGGAGAUUAAAAAGAUGCCCCUCAAGAUGGCUGUGCCUGUCAGCUGCAUGGAGCUUCGUUCAAGUAUUUUCUGAGCCUGAUGGAUUUACAGUGAUCUUCAGUGGUCUGGGGAAUAACGCUGGUGGAACCAUGCACUGGAAUGACACACGCCCGGCACAUUUCAGGAUACUAAAAGUGGUUUUAAGGGAGGCUGUGGCUGAAUGCCUCAUGGAUUCUUACAGCUUGGAUGUCCAUGGGGGACGAAGGACUGCAGCUGGCUGAGAGGGUUGAGAUCUCUGUUUACUUAGAUCUCUGCCAACUUCCUUUGGGUCUCCCUAUGGAAUGUAAGACCCCGACUCUUCCUGGUGAAGCAUCUGAUGCACGUUCCAUCCGGCGCUCAGCUGGGCUUGAGCUGACCAUACUCCCUGGAGCCUUCUCCCGAGGUGCGCGGGUGACCUUGGCACAUACAGCCAUCAUGAUGGUACUUUAAGUGGAGGCUGAAUCAUCUCCCCUUUGAGCUGCUUGGCACGUGGCUCCCUUGGUGUUCCCCUUUUACUGCCAGGACACUGAGAUUUGGAGAGAAUCCUGUUACACCUGGGAUUUAGGCACUUUCAAUCUGAAAAAAUACAUAUCCUUUCAGCACUCUGGACGGACUUGAGAACUGUCCUUACGUGACCUAAAGCUGGAGUAUUUUGAGAUUGGAGAAUUAAGAGUGUGGGCACCCUGGCUUCAAGCUCACGAGAAACCAGGUCGGGAUUUAAACAAUGUUGGGUUAAAGCAAAGUUUCAUAAAGACAGAAUCAAGAAAAAAAGAAAGAGAAA